CCUACGGGCGGCAGCAGUGAGGAAUAUUGGUCAAUGGACGAGAGUCUGAACCAGCCAAGUAGCGUGAAGGAUGACUGCCCUAUGGGUUGUAAACUUCUUUUAUAUGGGAAUCAAACGUUCCACGUGUGGGAUUUUGUAUGUACCAUAUGAAUAAGGAUCGGCUAACUCCGUGCCAGCAGCCGCGGUAAUACGGAGGAUCCGAGCGUUAUCCGGAUUUAUUGGGUUUAAAGGGAGCGUAGGUGGAUUGUUAAGUCAGUUGUGAAAGUUUGCGGCUCAACCGUAAAAUUGCAGUUGAAACUGGCAGUCUUGAGUACAGUAGAGGUGGGCGGAAUUCGUGGUGUAGCGGUGAAAUGCUUAGAGAUCACGAAGAACUCCGAUUGCGAAGGCAGUUCACUGGACUGCAACUGACACUGAGGCUCGAAAGUGUGGGUAUCAAACAGGAUUAGAUACCCGGGUAGUC
rnacentral:rRNA from 1 species